rnacentral:rRNA from 1 species
GUACACGCUGUGACUAGCAUAUCAAUAAGCGGAGGAAAAGAAACUAACAAGGAUUCCCUUAGUAACGGCGAGUGAAGCGGGAAGAGCUCAAAUUUGAAAUCUUCAAGGUUUUACCUUGACGAAAUGUAGUUUAAAGAAGUGUUUUCUGUUGAAGUUUUGGUAAAAGUUCUUUGGAAUAGGACAUCAUAGAGGGUGAGAAUCCCGUAUUUGACCAUUAUUUUCAGCUUUGUGAUACACUUUCAAAGAGCCGGAUUGUUUGGGAAUGCAGUCCAAAAUGGGUGGUAAAUUUCAUCUAAAGCUAAAUAUUGGCGAGAGACCGAUAGCGAACAAGUACCGUGAGGGAAAGAUGAAAAGAACUUUGAAAAGAGAGUUAAACAGUACGUGAAAUUGUCAAAAGGGAAGCGUUUAACACCAGUGUUGUUUUCUGAAAAUCAACCUCUGUUAGCUUUAUGCAUGUUUGUUUAGACCUAAUCAGCUAUCUUGCAUGUUCUAUUGUUUGCAGUGGUGCACUUUUCAGUUUACAGGUCAACAUCAGUUUUUUUUACCGUAAAAAAGUUAAAGAAAGGUAGCUCAUGGCUCCGGUCGUGAGUGUUAUAGUCUUUUUCCUAUGCGGUAGGAGAGACUGAGGUCUGCAGUGUAGGCUAUUUGGCUAGAUACUCAGGUGCUAUGUGAUACCAUUUCAUAAACAACUUGUUGACUAUGUUUUAGUCUAUUAGCAUUACUCGCUUAUGCUAUUAUACCUACGCUUAGGAUGUUGACGCAUGAGAUAUACGC